GUUCUCUCUCCUAUCUUUUAUAAGGAAGAGAUUGAAUUGAAACUUUUGAUUCUCGUCAUGGUUUCUUAUCGGUGAUUUCACCUCCGGUAUAUUGUGGUCAGUUCGACGAGUACAUCCGGUUUCUGCUUCCGGUGGCUCACGGUCUUCUUGACGGAGCUAUCCAGCUUUGUCUCCGCGUCGUAUUUCUUUUUGAAAGCGGUAGCGAUUUAUUUCUGGGGAUUUUUCGGUUCGUUGUUCGAAAGAUCGAUGGUGGUGGGUUAGAUCGUAGACGAUUUGUCUUUUUGGAAACGUAGAUCUGGUGUGUGACUUAUUCCGCUGUGAAAAUGACUCCGUCGUAAGUCGUUCUUCAUCGGCCUGACUCUGUUUGGCGGCAGAGUUCCGUCAAGUCUGCACUCAAGCACCGGUGAAAGGUUGUAUCUUCUUUUCUUGACGCGUGUUUCAGGACGCAGGGCAUUCGUCCACGAGGUGGGAUGAGUUGGCAUCUUCUUUGAUGGGUUUUAUCCUUGGACGUACGGUCUAAGUUGUUUGUUUAGUUUCGGUCGGUUGGUUGGCUUCGUAUACUGUUUUUGUUGGAUUUGGUCUGUUUCGACCUGGACCCAUUAAUAAAAGUACCCGAUGACAAAAUAAAAAAUAAAAGGAACAAGGACCGAAGGGAAAUUGAUAGAAGCCACUUUUGAAUUUUUUAACACAAAGAUGACAAAACAUAACAUUCUUACAUACAUUAAAAAAAAAAACAUAACAGAUUUGAAAAUUUGCAAGAAAUUUGAGAGAAUUAAAAAAUUUCCCUCAUACUCCUUCGAUAAUUUGAGGAAGAUUUACGAUGAAUUUUUUUUGGCAUUGUAAUCUCUUCACAAUUCCGCCACAAUUUUGCGAGGACAAUAUUCCGUCGCGAUUUUUUUUUCUUGCAAAUCGUAUGCUUUCUCCUUUUUCAAAAAAAUCGUAUGCUUUCUUAUUAUAGUGCCAGCAAAAAAUAGUGAAGUAUAAGCUUUUAAAAUUUUAUAUUAUCAAAGUGGUCCAACAUGUUUAUACUAAAAGAUAAAGAUGAUUUAGAAAAACAGUACAAAAUCUAAAUUUUGUUUUCAUCGUAUAAUUACAUUUUCCAAAUCCAAAUAUUGCAAGUACUAAAUUGUUUACCAUUUGAUAAUUUAAUUGAAACCUAAACUACUAAAGAAAACUGAUAAACUAAAGUUGCAUUUAUAAA